GGUCCGACCCGAACCCGGACACGCUGGAUUUUAACCCCCCGGUCCCGAGUGCGGUCAUGUAUAGCGCGAUGUAUAGGACCAUGAGUUGUUUGCCACUUGCGGGGAUGCAUGUUGAACUACCUAGCUCACACUUUGGUGGUUGGAGGCUUGGGAUUAUAGUUGAAAUGGUCAAGAUCGUAACACCCAUAGCUUGAAUAGUAGUAAAGAUACCAAUUGUAAGGUACCGUCCAAGAAA
rnacentral:misc_RNA from 1 species